UAGGGAAUAUUAGAAAUGGACGAAAGUCUGAUCUAGCAACACCGCGUGUGCGAAGAAGGCCUUCGGGUUGUAAAGCACUUUUUGGAAGGAUUAGGAAGGAAUGUACUUCCAGAAUAAGUCUCGGCUAACUACGUGCCAGCAGCCGCGGUAACACGUAGGAGGCCAACGUUAUCCGGAUUUAAUGGGCGUAAAGCGCGUGUAGGUGGUUCUGUAAGUAGGGCGUGAAAGCUCCUGGCUCAACUGGGAGAGGCCGUUCUAAGCUGCAGAGAUAGAGGAUGGUAGAGGGAGGUGGAAUUCCGGGUGUAGCGGUGGAAUGCGCAGAUAUCCGGAGGAACACCAGUGGCGAAAGCGGCCUCCUGGACCAUUCCUGACACUCAGACGCGAAAGCUAGGUUAGCAAACG
rnacentral:rRNA from 1 species